CUAAAAUCUACUGAUUGAUAAUAGAUAAAACUAGACAGAGUUUAGAUAAUAUUCCGAUUUAUUAUUAAACGUGCCUACAUGAUACAAAUCAGGGGAACAACACAAUCUGGAUAUCACUUUAUAAUAUGCUUUCGCGAUCUUAGACAAACGUAGACGCCCAGAUGCCACGUUUAGGGUGAACGAUUAAAGUGGUGGAACACUGUCGGCAGUCCUGAGCUGUCCUCUGGUGGAGACCACGUUGUAACUCUCGUGACAGUCACAUUUAACGUGGAUCCAUUUGUUCACGUGACGAUUUUCGACCAUGACGACUAGCCCGGCCCAUCCUUUGGUCAAACUGUUAUUUCUAGUGACUCCUUACUUCGUGUCGCUGUCCUUUGGCCAAGGUGAGGCUAAUAAUCGCGUCAGCUAGGACGAAUGCUGGUGGUGAGAUCUGCUCGACGAGCAACCUCUUCGAGCUGUGGAUGGCCAGGACG